UACAGAGGUCUCAAGCGUUGUUCGGAUUCAUUGGGCGUAAAGGGUGCGUAGGUGGCGCGCUAAGUCAGGUGUGAAAUUUCGGAGCUUAACUCCGAAACUGCAUUUGAUACUGGCGUGCUUGAGGACUGGAGAGGAGACUGGAAUUCAUGGUGUAGCAGUGAAAUGCGUAGAGAUCAUGAGGAAGACCAGUGGCGAAGGCGGGUCUCUGGACAGUUCCUGACACUGAGGCACGAAGGCCAGGGAGCAAACGGG
rnacentral:rRNA from 1 species